rnacentral:rRNA from 1 species
CCUACGGGGGGCAGCAGUGGGGAAUAUUGCACAAUGGGCGAAAGCCUGAUGCAGCAACGCCGCGUGAGUGAUGAAGGCCUUCGGGUCGUAAACCUCUGUCCUCAAGGAAGAUAAUGACGGUACUUGAGGAGUAAGCCACGGCUAACUACGUGCCAGCAGCCGCGGUAAUACGUAGGGGGCUAGCGUUAUCCGGAUUUACUGGGGGUAAAGGGUGGGUAGGCGGUUUUUAAAGUCAGGGGUAAAAGGAUAGGGCUCAACCGUAGAAAGCAUUUGAAACUGGGAGACUUGAGUGCAGGAGAGGGGAGUGGAAUUCCGGGUGUAGCGGUGAAAUGCGUAGAUAUAAGGAGGAACACCAGUGGCGAAGGCGGCGCUCUGGACUGUAACUGACGCUGAGGCGCGAAAGCGUGGGGAGCAAACAGGAUUAGAUACCCGUGUAGUC